rnacentral:lncRNA from 1 species
GAGGGCAAGUAUUUUGUAGAUGUUAUCGGAUAUGUUACUGAGGUUGGCCCGCAAUCUGUGAAGGCAUCAGGUGCUCGCGCGGUUGAGUUCAAUCUAAACAACGAACGCAAUCGCCGAGUUAGAGUGACGUUAUGGGGACAUUUGGGUGAUGCUCUGAUUAAGAAGAAGGCCGAAAACCCGGCUGUCUAUUGCCUGAUCCUUACUUCCAUGAGUGCAAAAUUUUACCUGGGUACGAUUGUCUUUAUCUGA